rnacentral:rRNA from 1 species
AUGGCCUCUCAGCAACCUCCGCCGCCGCCGCCGAAGGAGAAGAAAUCCCCGCCACCCGCUCCCACCACCAUAUGCGCCCUCGGCGACGACCUUCUGCGCGAGGUAUUCCUCUGCCUCCCCUCCCUCCCGAGCCUCGUCCGCGCCUCCCUCACCUGCACUCCCUUCCUCCGCGCCGUCCGCUCGUCGCCUGCAUUCCGCCGCCGGUUCCGCGACCUCCACCCACCACAGCUCCUAGGAAUCUUCCUCAACAUCCACGACCCCGCCUUGCCAGCCUUCGGGCCCAUCCGCCGCCGCUCCGACGUGGACCACGCCGCCGCCAUCCGCGGCGCCGAUGUCUUCCUUACCCUGCUCCCCGAAGACGAUAAGGACGCCGAUCGCGAGUGGUCAAUGGAAGACUGCCGCGACGGAUAUGUCGUUCUCGUCAACUGGGAAAUCAAGCAAAUGGCUGUCUACGAUCCCCUCACACGGGCCCUGGAUCUCUUCUCCACGCCACCGGACGAGAUCUGCAGCGACAUGCACGUUGAGUUCCACAUGCUCGCCUCUGAAGAAUGCCACGGGCAGUUCCGCAUUGUCUCUGUCUGUCAUGAAGAAUGGGGGGCGCAAGCUGCCGUGUUCUCAUCAGAUACCGGAGAGUGGCAGGUUUUCCCGUUUUCAGAGGAUGAUCACUGCAAUCACGAUGGUACAAUGGUGAAUGGGUUUGUCUAUUGGACAUUUACAAGCGGAGCCAAUAUCCUUGUGCUGAAUACGGCUACACUGCAAUUCUCGCAAAUCAAUCCGCCGCUGCAUAUGGAAGGGAAAGGGGAAUUUAAGCCUGGCGAGACCAAGGAUGGGAAGCUCUGUUUGGUUUGCACGGUUAGAUUCACGCUUGUUGUCUGGGUCUGGGGACCGGAUGAUGACGACGUUGAUAGAUGGAUCCUGGAUAAGGCAUUUCCGAUGCAGGAUGCAAUUACUCUGCAUGAUGAUUGUGCUCUCAAUGUUGUGGCGAUUAUCGGUGGUUUGGUGUAUUUUUCUACUUCUUGUCAGAGGCAUUCGAAUUCUUGCUUUUUCAUGUCCUUCUGCCUUGAAACAGAGGAGCUGAAUAAGCUCUGCCCUGUCACUCCCUGCUCUAUUCGUUCAUAUCCGUACAUCAUGGCGUUCCCUCCUUCAUUGAUAUGCAAUAAGGUGAACCCUCAACCUGAAGGAGCUUGA